GGGGAAUAUUGCGCAAUGGGGGAAACCCUGACGCAGCAAUACCGCGUGAAGGAAGAAGGCUUUCGGGUUGUAAACUUCUUUUAAGGGGGAAGAGUAGAAGACGGUACCCCUUGAAUAAGCCACGGCUAACUACGUGCCAGCAGCCGCGGUAAUACGUAGGUGGCAAGCGUUGUCCGGAUUUACUGGGUGUAAAGGGCGUGUAGCCGGGAAGGCAAGUCAGAUGUGAAAUCUGGAGGCUCAACCUCCAAACUGCAUUUGAAACUGCUUUUCUUGAGUGUCGGAGAGGUAAUCGGAAUUCGUGGUGUAGCGGUGAAAUGCUUAGAUAUCACGAAGAACUCCAAUUGCGAAGGCAGCUCACUGGAGUGUAACUGACGCUGAUGCUCGAAAGUGUGGGUAUCAAACA
rnacentral:rRNA from 1 species